AUUACUUAUUGACUUGGGAAUGUAAAGAUGCUAACAAUAAGCAGCUGACUGCCGUGAUGUUUCACUGUCCGAGUAUCAACGAAACAGCUUCCAAAUUGCUGUCUUAUUUGUGAAUUUACUCAAAGAAUGAAGGCCAAUUUGUUUUCUCUAUUAUCCUCAAGAUGCUUCAUCUCAGAAGAGAUCUUGCCAAGUGGUCACGUGCGGUAGCCAAAGCUUGACUUAUAGUCUGC